UACAGAGGUCUCAAGCGUUGUUCGGAUUCAUUGGGCGUAAAGGGUGCGUAGGUGGUUUGUUACGUCUGCUGUGAAAUCCUAGGGCUUAACCCUGGGCUUGCAGUGGAUACGGGCAGACUAGAGGUAGGUAGGGGAGAAUGGAAUUCCUGGUGUAGCGGUGAAAUGCGCAGAUAUCAGGAGGAACACCGGUGGCGAAGGCGGUUCUCUGGGCCUUACCUGACACUGAGGAGCGAAAGCGUGGGGAGCGAACAGG
rnacentral:rRNA from 1 species